rnacentral:lncRNA from 1 species
UUUUUUGUUUUGUUUUUUUUUUAAAUUGAAGGCUAAAGUUUUUGAAAAAACUUUGUUGGACUCUGGCUGGAACACAAAAUCAGAUAUUUGGAAUCAUUUUGAAGCUUAACUUUUUCCUAGCCAGCCUUGUAUUCUAAUUGCUUGCAAAUGUGAGACUGAAUGGCCAAAAUGCCAUUUGUUUGUUUGUUUAUUGUCAGCUGCUUUUAUCAAAUUCCAGGCCAUUAUCCAGCAAACACUAUUAAAAUGUUUGAACAGUUGGGUUUCAAACAUUUUUGUUUUGUGGAGUGGUGCUUAUUAAGUGGUACAGCUCUCUAAGCAAGUGAACACAAACAUAUUUAAGUGUAUUUUGUAUGAUUAGAUGUUACCAAUUCUGAUAUUUUAUUCAAAUGUCUAAAAAAAUAAGUUGACUUAUUCCCUUUACCAAAGGGCCAGAGACAAAUGGUUUCCUUUCAAGAGAAAUGACUGUUUUGAAAAAAACUCUGUUGGUCUUAGCUCUUUUGUAAUUAAAUCUGGAUGUACCUCAAAAGACUCUUUAAGACUGUGGUGUUAAAAGGCUUUCCUCUGGAGAAGGAGAAAAAAAAAAUCAACUGGAACUUAAAAGCUUGAAAUUCCAUGACAAAACACAGAUGUCCAGGAUUGGAGGUUCAUAAAGUACAUGCAGUAGUUGGAGUGGAUUCCAUUUUCAGUGUAGCUGCCACCAUGGACUCCAGGCUCCCAGAUUUUCAAGAACUGGACCUGUGACCCAGAAGAGCUUGUCAAGAUAUGACAGGAACUCUGGAGGUGGACGUUUUGUAUUCAGUUUUGGAACUGUUGAUCUUGCCGUGAGAAAAGAGAGACACGACUCACCAAGCACUGCCACCAGCACUGUCACUGGGAACUUGAAGACCCAAGUUUCUGUCCAGAACCUCAGUGCAAACUGACAACACUCCAUCCAAAGUGAACUACGUCCCGUGCCUCCUGAUUGCUGAAUGUUCACCUGGACCUGCCAAUGACCUUCCUUCUGCUACUCCAUCAGCCUACAGACCUGGUACUUGGAUAUUUGUCCAUGGUGAUUCCUACCACCUUACUACUGAAGAAGACACCAUUCCAGUGGACCACUGUGACCCAAGAAGCAUUCAGCCAUCAUGAUGUGGCCUUUACCUCCACUCCUGUCCUACUCUGCCCAGAUUCAGCACAGCCCUUUAUAGUGCAGUCAAGAGUCUUCAAGCCAAAUAACUGAAGCUAUUUUAUCACAACAAAGGCCAGGUUUAUUCCAUAAAUGUACAGUUCAUUUCUGCAGUUUAUUCUUCAGAGACACAUAGUAAAUUUGGACCAGGGGGAUUUUGUUUUGUUUAUAUUGUCAACACUGUCUGAAGAAAGGCAUCUCUGAGAACAGCAUUGGACCCUACUCCACAAUCUCAAAUGAUUGAAGUUUCAUAAACUGCCUAGGAUCCUGUCAAGGCCACUGGACUCUUGUUCUUUUCCUACUUCAAAAUCUGUAGCUGUCUACUAAAUGACAAAGCAGAUAUUCUGACCCAUUGGGAUCAAAACCAAGGCAUAUUGAAUUCCUCAUAGUAUCAUCUUCGGGUUACUCAGGAACCAAAACUUUUCACACCAAUUUAAGAAAUUCUACUGAGGAAUCCCUUUACCUAACCAUCUCACAAGGCUUCAACCAGAUUCCUGAAAAGGCCUCUUGAUAUAUCAAGAUAGAACCUACAUGCAUUUUGUGAACAACUUAUCACUGAUUUUCCAAAGGCUUUGUGCUCUUGAAGUUCUUUGAAGGAAAGCUGUGUGGAAGUCCAGAGUAAAGUGAAGCUGCUCUGGAUGAAGUAGUGAAGUGGGAGUUGAGGUCUACAACCUGCCACAACCAUCUUCCUUUACCACCAUGGUGAUGCCUAAAGGGACUUCCUUAUAGAAAGCUCUUCAGAAAAUCCUGCUUGAAACCACUACCCUAGACAACAUGUUUGACCUGGAUGGCAUUCUCUUCAAAACAAUUCAUAUUCAGUUGAUGCUCAACAUGUUUGGAGAUGCUUUAUUCAGAGAAUGAUGAUAAUACAGCAUUGUCUAAUGAAGUUUUAUUAAUAGCAUUCCAUCCAAGGUGGACUUCCUGGAGUUGGAUAUAACCAGAGAGCAAUUCAUAUGUAUCCUACACUGAAGAACACCAUUAACUUUCAGCAACCUAUAGCUAGUGGUACUAGAAGUACGUGUCUUGGAAGUCUAUGAGAGCUGGUAUUGAAGCUGAUGCCUCCUUAAGGCCAUCUUAGACCAAGUUGUUUGACCUCUCCUCAUUAACUAUGGAGCAGAAUUGAAAUACAAAUUUUUCCUAAAGGGACUUGCAAUCUGGUUAUCAUUCAUUAUCUCAAGUUUCAAGUCAUGUUGAUGCAACCAGUAGUUAUUAAACUGCUCCAUGGUUUUUUGUUAUUUAAUACUUUUUCCAGGGCUUAAAAAACCAAAACUAAAUUUCUCCAACACAUCUAUACUUGUCUGUUCAAAAGUAACUACUCACCACUAUAUGGAACAGAUGAUUCUGAAGACACUCUGAGCAUCCUUUAUGAUAUUUGUGACUUAAAAUGUGGCUGGAAAUUUUCCUUCUACCCAGUGAAAUAUUUAAUGAUUAGUCUUCAUGCCUGAUACCAUCAACUGUAUAUGUGUGAUAGGCAAAGUUUGACAUAGGCAUUUGACUCUAGGCUAUGAUAGCUUGCUAGUAACUUCAAGUAGCAUAUUGUCAACCUGUUUGCUGGAAAAGUAGAGUAACUUGGGAAAAAAAACUAAAUGGCAGCUAAGGAUUUUUUCAGUAUUCCUGAGUUUCUGUCCUUGGGAUAUUUCAAUGAAAUUUUCACCUGUCUCUUCACUUAACAGAGUGACUGACUCCUUACUAUGAAGUAUUCUUAAGACAUUAAGAUUACUUUUGUAGAAAGGAUAAAAUUCCUGACCAUCCAAAUCAUCAUAGUGAACAAGACUUCAAUUUGUGACCUGAGAAAAUCUCAUUCCUCUACUUCGUAGUCAAUGUAAGGGCCAAAUGCUAUCAGCUACUCUGAGUGCACUGGGUAAACGUUGGAACUGCCUUCUUUAUAUCAUUACUUCUUAUCCUCUAAACUAAUCAUGGUUAUGUAAUUCUCACCGCAAAUCAGCAAAUCAGACUCAGGUCUGGUUAUUCUAGACUGCUCACAGUUAAAUCAAAUUCUGGAUGACUUCUGCUUGUAUAUGCAACUACUAUUUGUAAAGAAAUUGCAAAUUCACUUUUCUAUUACCUCUACAUUGCUAGCUCUUUCUUUUGUGUUUGUAUUAAAAACAAAAAUAAGCUACACUGCCAGCUAUUCCCUCCUGCCAAACUCAGUUAAAAUGAAGAAUCGGGAAUCUAACCAGUGAAUGGAUAAGUAGAAAAAACUAAAACUUAAGGCAAAAGCCUUAAUCUAGGGCCUUUUCUACUAUCUUCAUGUCUUGGAUUUCAUCUAAAAUCAACAGUGCCACCCAACCAGUCUGAGGUCUUGACUUGCUUUUAAGAUGAUUCUUAGAGAUGGGCUGUAUUACAGAAGGUGAAGACUUGAUUACCAAAGAAAGUAGAGCCAACUUUGACAAACCUGGCUCUACAAUCCUAUUGCUUCCAGAUGUAGCAUAGACUCAUAACUAGAACCUCAAGUCUGCAUUGAGGAUAUAGCCUUCUAAGCUGACAGUUCUUGCAACAGGUGAGCAAGAAAAUGAAAGCUGUUACACCCAACUGGCCCUUUAAGAUCCAAAAAUAAUGUCUGGACUAAACCCUAUGGAGUACCCAGGACAAAAACUAAUUUACAGAGCUUCAUUAUUAAUCUGCCUGUUCUUCUAGCUUAAUUAUUGGUAUGGCUGGCCCUACUGAAGUAGUUUGUCUGUUUACCUGUCUUCAGCUCUUAACCUGGCUAUUUUGACAUGCUACUGCAAUUAGACUAACUGGCUUUGAGAAGACUACAAUCAGUUUCAGCCUCUCCUUUGCCAUACCUCACCCCACCAGAACAGGAAGGACCAUGCUGCAUAUUCCUUGACCAGCAACUUUAAGUAGAGAACAACCCUGCUUGUUUUCAACAUCUGAAACACCAUUUGAUCUAAUAGGAGUAUAGAAGGUUGACAGCAGAGUACACUGCUUACUUCUUUCAUAAUUCAGAAAUGAAUAUGACUGGCCCAGAAGUUGUAAGUUCACCUUGACAAGAAACAGCAACACCAGAAGUUUACUGCUGAACUUAACUUGCCACUUACUCGAAUAGACUCACAGACCUGCUUGCCAAGUAGGAGGCUAGUUUUCCUGCUUCAUAUCACCAUUGGAGUGGGGCUCAAUGGGAUCAAUGUUAAUACUGACUUGAAUGGGGACCUUAUGGUGAAUCCUAGACUGUGAGGCUAAUGGAAAUUAUUGUCUAUUCAAGUGGAUUAUAGAUUUCCUGAGGACAGAACAGACAUCACUCCUGGUGAUUUUUAGAACUUGAUUACCAAGGAAGAAAUACCAGCUGCUAACAGUCAACUUUAUGGGCAAAGAUUAAGCUCUCUAUAUCUGGUCUUAUCCUGGAUGCUAGUUUUUUAUUGCCCAAUGACCAUUUCCAUCUCACGCUUAACUUCCUGAUGUUUUUUGGAACCAUCUCUUCCAAUUUUCAGUCCUGGUGAUUUAGACAGUCUUUUCAUGCUGGACAUUUUGUUGCAACCUCAUCAAUCACAGCAAAGUCCAUCUUGACUUUAGUGAUUAGUUCCGGAAUGGAUGCAUGAUUCAAGUUUGUCCAAUGAUAAUCAACCCUAGGUGUUUUCUCAGUUGUGGAGAAGUUCUCUUAGAUGCUUUAGCUUUGUAGGAGAAAACUCAAACCAACAGGGCCUACUAUGUUGAAUGAGCCAGGCAGAAAAUGAAGCCAGUACAGAGGGAAAUGGAGCCAAAAGAGGAAGAGACUUGAGUUCUGAUGAUCACAUUUAUGCCCCUGUAUCCAACUGUGCCUGAAGCUAAUAGUACAUCACCUGGACUUUUCAGUUAUGUGAACCAAUAAAUUCCCCUUUUUAAGUUA